AAGUCGUAACAAGGUUUCCGUAGGUGAACCUGCGGCAGGAUCAUUAACACGUAUCCAAACGUUAAAACCCCCCCCCCUUGCACAAUCAAUGACACUUUCCGACACUGACUGCUUGGGGAAACAUUGCCUAUAGAACUACCGCUCGAUUGUAACUGUUCCAAUGUUCGCCCGUAGCCAGAGGUCUCUGAAUCACUACAACUUUCCGGGCUAUGAUUUAUCAGAGAUUGCGAACUACGCGGGUUACAAGAGCAGGAUGAAGGUUCACGGGGGAUAGCGCUUCUACGAUUCCUGUAGACCGUACACUCGGGCAGGAGCUUUGCCAAAGGGUCCCCAUGCCCCCUAAUAACCCCACAGAUUAAUGUGAAGCUCAAUGUAAUACAUUGGGUAAAAAAACCGAACAACUGUUAACAAUGGAUAUCUUGGUUCUC
rnacentral:misc_RNA from 1 species